rnacentral:lncRNA from 1 species
UUUUUUUUUUUUUUCUUCUUAUUCCCUGCCUCUGGCUCCCUCCUUCCGCGCGAGCCUCUGGAGAAGCUGCAGCACUUAGGCGCCUCCGCUGCCUCCCGGGGCCUGUUCGCCUUGCACCAUGGACUGGCAGCCAGACGAGCAGGGCCUGCAGCAGGUCUUGCAGCUUCUCAAAGAUUCGCAGUCGCCCAACACAGCUACUCAGCGCAUAGUGCAGGAUAAACUUAAACAGCUCAACCAGUUUCCUGACUUCAACAACUACCUGAUCUUCGUCCUGACCAGACUCAAAUCAGAAGAUGAACCAACCCGCUCUCUGAGUGGCCUCAUCCUUAAGAACAACGUGAAGGCACAUUACCAGAGCUUCCCACCUCCUGUGGCAGACUUC